AGAAAGGAUUCUACGGCCCUAACUGUACCCGUGGCUGUGGACAUUGUAAAGAGAAGGCUAAAUGUGAUCACGUGAAUGGUGCUUGUCCGUCACGAGAGUGUAAACCUGGAUGGAAGCAGACAUCAGAUCGGAAAUGUGACGAAGCUUGUGAGAAAGGAUUCUAUGGCCCUAACUGUAUCCGUGGCUGUGGAUAUUGUAAAGGGAAGGCUAAAUGCGAUCACGUGAAUGGUUCUUGUCCGUCACGAGAGUGUAAACCUGGAUGGAAGCAGACAUCAGAUCGGAAAUGUGACCAAGCCUGUGAGAAAGGAUUCUACGGCCCUAACUGUACCCGUGGCUGUGGACAUUGUAAAGGGAAGGCUAAAUGUGAUCACGUGAAAGGUUCUUGUCCGUCACGAGAGUGUAAACCUGGAUGGAAGCAGACAUCAGAUCGGAAA